AUACGGAGGGUCCAAGCGUUAUCCGGAUUCAUUGGGUUUAAAGGGUCCGCAGGCGGGAAAAUAAGUCAGUGGUGAAAGCCUACAGCUCAACUGUAGAACUGCCAUUGAUACUGUUUUUCUUGAGUAUAGAUGAAGUGGGCGGAAUAUAUCAUGUAGCGGUGAAAUGCAUAGAUAUGAUAUAGAACACCGAUUGCGAAGGCAGCUCACUAAACUAUUACUGACGCUCAGGGACGAAAGCGUGGGGAGCGAACAGGAUUAGAUACCCGGGUAGUCC
rnacentral:rRNA from 1 species